AUUGAACGCUGGCGGCAGGCUUAACACAUGCAAGUCGAGCGAGCGGCGGACGGGUGAGUAAUGUCUGGGAAACUGCCUGAUGGAGGGGGAUAACUACUGGAAACGGUAGCUAAUACCGCAUACCAUCGGAUGUGCCCAGAUGGGAUUAGCUAGUAGGUGGGGUAAUGGCUCACCUAGGCGACGAUCCCUAGCUGGUCUGAGAGGAUGACCAGCCACACUGGAACGUAGACACGGUCCAGACUCCUACGGGAGGCCGCAGUGGGGAAGAUUUCAAAAUGGGGGCAAGCCUGAUGCAGCCAUGCCGCGGGUAUGGAGAAGGCCUUCGGGUUGUAAAGUACUUUCAGUCGGGAGGCGUUACCGACAGAAGGAGCAACGGCUAACCCCGUGCCAGCAGCCGCGGUAAUAC
rnacentral:rRNA from 1 species